UUAUUAAAGAUUGCUUUUAUAGAAUUAAAAUUUGAUUAUGGUUUAUGAAAAGUUAAAAUAAUAUUAUUUAAAUUUAAUUUAUUAAGUAGGCAAUGAAAGUUUUACCUCGGGUAAUUAUUUAUUUGUAUAAUACUUGUUCCAGAAUAAUCGGCUAGGCUUGUUAAAUUUAAACUUUAGUUUGGUUUUAUCAUAAUUUUAGUUAGUUUAAAUAAUUUAGUUUAAUUUUAGGUUAAAUUUAAAUUUUUUUUAUGUUUAUAAUUGUGAUUUUAAGUUUUGAAAAACGAAUUAGAUUAGUACCUAAUUAGUCAAAAAUUAAAAGAGCAGAAGUAAAGUUGUAUUUAAACUGAAAGAAUAUUGGCAGAUUUUCUAAAUUAUCUUUGGAGGUUGAGUAAUAAUUGAGAACCCUCAUUAACUACUUUUAUUUUGGUCUCAUGUAUGAUCGUUUAUUUUAUACUUAAGGUAUAUAAUAAAAAAUAUUAAUUUAGUAAAAUAGAUAUAUAUUUGGUUAAUAUAAAAGUUUAAUUUGACCUACAAUAAUUUAAAUUGUGGAUUUAUAUUAGUGUUUUUAUAAUGAAAAUGUAAAAGACAGUAAAAAAAUUUUUAUGAUUUUUUGAAGAUUAUUUAGAUGUGGUACAAAUCAUCCAUCAAUUGCCUAAAGGGGAGUAAGUUGUAGUAAAGUAGAUUUAGGGGAACCUUAAUCUAGUUAUU
rnacentral:ncRNA from 1 species